rnacentral:rRNA from 1 species
CCCGCUGAACUUAAGCAUAUCAAUAAGCGGAGGAAAAGAAACUAACAAGGAUUCCCCUAGUAACUGCGAGUGAAGCGGGAAGAGCUCAAAUUUGAAAUCUGGUAGCUCUCUGAACUGUCCGAGUUGUAAUCUAGAGAAGUGUUACCUGUGCUGGACCGUGUACAAGUCUCCUGGAAUGGAGCGUCACAGAGGGUGAGAAUCCCGUCUUUGACACGGACUGCCUGCAUGUUUAUGGUGCGCUCAUCAGAGAGUCGAGUUGUUUGGGAAUGCAGCUCAAAAUGGGUGGUAAAUGCCAUCUAAAGCUAAAUAUUGGCGAGAGACCGAUAGCGAACAAGUUCCGUGAGGGAAAGAUGAAAAGAACUUUGGAAAGAGAGUUAAACAGUACGCUGAAAUUGCUGAAAGGGAAACGCUUGAAGUCAGUCGCGUCGGCUAGAAAUCAACCUUGCUUUUGCUUGGUGUACUUUCUUGUCGAUGGGUCAGCAUCAAUUUUGACCGUUGGAUAAAGUCGUUGGGAAUGUGGCAUCUUAGGAUGUGUUAUAGCCCAUUGUCGCUAUAUCAGCGGUUGGGAUUGAGGAACUCAGCACGCCCGCAAGGCGACGGGUUUUGACUCAGCGUGAUACGUGCUUAGAGAUGCUGGCAUAAUGGCUUUAAUCGACCCGUCGUGAAACACGG